rnacentral:rRNA from 1 species
GUAGGGGGCAAGCGUUGUCCGGAUUUAUUGGGCGUAAAGGGCUCGUAGGCGGCUUAGCAAGUCGGCUGUGAAAUCCCGGGGCUUAACCCCGGAAGUGCGGUCGAAACUGCUAUGGCUAGGGUCCGGUAGAGGAAAGUGGAAUUCCCGGUGUAGCGGUGAAAUGCGCAGAUAUCGGGAGGAACACCAACAGCGAAGGCAGCUUUCUGGGCCGGAACCGACGCUGAGGAGCGAAAGCGUGGGGAGCAAACAGGAUUAGAUACCCUGGGUAGUCCACGCCGUAAACGUUGGGCACUAGAUGUGGCGAGUUCAUCAAUGCUCGCCGUGUCGCAGCUAACGCGUUAAGUGCCCCGCCUGGGGGAGUACGGUCGCAAGGCUA